rnacentral:rRNA from 1 species
UACAGGGGGGGCGAGCGUUGUUCGGAAUUACUGGGCGUAAAGAGCUCGUAGGUGGUUUGUCGCGUUGUUCGUGAAAACUCACAACUCAAUUGUGGGCGUGCGGGCGAUACGGGCAGACUGGAGUACUGCAGGGGAGACUGGAAUUCCUGGUGUAGCGGUGGAAUGCGCAGAUAUCAGGAGGAACACCGGUGGCGAAGGCGGGUCUCUGGGCAGUAACUGACGCUGAGGAGCGAAAGCGUGGGGAGCGAACAGG